UAGUCCACGCCGUAAACGAUGGUCACUAGUUGUUGGGGUCUUGUACCUCAGUGAUUAAGAGAAAUUGAUAAGUGACCCACCUGGGGAGUACGAUCGCAAGAUUGAAACUCAAAGGAAUUGACGGGGGCCCGCACAAGCGGUGGAGCAUGUGGUUUAAUUCGAUGAUACGCGAGGAACCUUACCAGGGCUUAAAUGUAAGUUGCAUGAUUUAGAGAUAGAUCUUUCUUCGGACUACUUACAAGGUGCUGCAUGGUUGUCGUCAGCUCGUGUCGUGAGAUGUUGGGUUAAGUCCCGCAACGAGCGCAACCCUUGUCUUUAGUUGCCAUCAUUAAGUUGGGCACUUUAAAGAGACUGCCGGUGACAAACCGGAGGAAGGCGGGGAUGACGUCAAGUCCUCAUGGCCCUUACGGGUAGGGCUACACACGUACUACAAUGGCAGGAACAAACCGUUUGCAAAGCCGCGAGGUUGAGCUAAUCGGUAAAACACUGUCCCAGUCCGGAUUGGAGUCUGCAACUCGACUCC
rnacentral:rRNA from 1 species